CUUCUGAGGCAGUAGUGAACCAUCAGGUUUGGAUUUCAGUCUGUGGGCAGCCUGGAAUAAGGAUUUGUGCCAUAUAACCCAUCUGGGCGUCUAAGCACUAUAAUAUUUAACUCCAUUGGCAUAUCAGUAACAGAGGAAGCCUGUGGCAGAAGAAAAUGCUGGCUGGCCCAAAACACCCUCUAAAGCAGACACAGCAUGUGCUUAACCAGGCUUAGUGAAGACCAGGCGUAAGGUCUGGCCUCCUCAGGGCAGUGUAUCUCAGUCACUGCACACUGACAGUGUGCAGUUUAGAUAGCUCUAGGGAUACUUCACAGUUUGUAAAUAUUUCCUUUCAAAUCCUUGCUCCUCAUGAAGCUGGAACAGCUCCUUGUAUCUCAAGCAAACACAUACAGAAAAACAUAAACUAAGAUCUUCUAGACACAUGGAGAAGUAUUGGAUUCACUCCUGCUUGCCUGUUUUUAAUUCCUGACACUGCCUAUGUUACAUAAACAGUUUUCAAGCAGAAAUCCCCUUUUACUUUGAUUAGUAGUUGCACUUUAAAAUCAAUUACAUAAUAUAUCCUUUGGGAAGGAAACCAUUUCUGAGAAUAAAUGAACAGCCAGCUUUCUGGAUCUUAGAAAUAGCACUAAGAUCUGUUAAAAUGCAAACCAGCUGUUCAAGAAGCUCCUCAGAGGCUUCUAAAAGACAGAAAAGAUUUGACAAUUGAACUUCAAGCAAAAGUGCUUAGGUUAAAAAGUAAGUAAUUUUAACAAGACUUUGAUGUCUGAUUAUCUGAAAUUAGGAACUUCUUAGCUCACUAAUUUCCUCUGGUUUUCAUAACCGAGUUCAUUAGCUAAACACCAACUGGACUUCAAGGAGUGUAUUGAUGUGACACAAAUCACAAAAAAUACAAUUUCUUAGGAGGCCUUGUAAGGGGCAAGAAGUAGUUUUUGUUCUAUUCAUCCAACUGCAUUUGUGCAAAAGCUCUCUGUGCUGUGCUAGCAACCCGAAGCUGUCCUUCCAAAUCAGUGGGCUUUGGGUUUUAAUCACUGCAAGUAAAUGAGCUAUUCUAGUUACCAAAAGAGAAACAGUUGCCAAUCAUAGUAGAGAAGAAAGCAGACCCACUGCAGGGCAUGAAAUUAAAUUUUCCAGGUAGUAGCCAGUAAUUGAUACCAUAAUGUGACCUUUGCCAAUAGCAGCCAAUUUAGAGCUGCGUGGAACCGUAGCCGAAGCAGGACAGAGGCUAUGAUCACCAGCACGCUUGCUCAGCAAAGACAGUGCUCUCUGCCUUCACUGGCAGGUAGACCUGUGCCUUUGUAAUUCAUACGAAGCAAGACUCUCACCUGAUGCAGACAGCACCCCAGGAAUAUCUUUACACAGACCUAUUUUUAAUAACAUUUUUUGUAACAUGGCAAAAUAACAGUACAGUAAAUCUGCAUACAAAUUACAAGGAACUGACAGGUCUCCUUAAUACUAGCAUAUUUUAUGUGCCCUUAGUCAAUGACAUUUUUUUCCUCAAGCUCAAAAACUAAUGAAGAACCUGUAUCAGUAAUCCUCAUUUUAUUCCCUAUAGAAAUCAGGCACAGGGGGAUUCUACACCCCUUUUAAAUUGCCAAAGUCUCUGGGUUUCCACUGACUAAAUAGACAGUGAAGCUGGGGAUUCCCAUGUGAGAUUCUCUCUCACCCUUGAGCCAUACCCACAAACCAAGCCACCUGAGUGAGGCACACAUCUGGCCCAGCCAUCCUAGAUAAGAGAAACAAGCAUUGAUGGAAAGGAAUUUAUCUCAGCUGCAGGCUCAAGCAACUUCCAAACGUGCCCGUUUCAGAUUCACUACUGCUCAGCAUCACCAAACUCCCCAAAUAAGCACAUACCAAAGAAAAGGAGGAUCAGUCUUUGUCUACCUGCUGAAGCCAACAAAAGCCUUUUCCAAGAACUUCAGAUGAAGACCUCAACUGUCGUGUGCUAUCAAUGAAAUAAAAAGUAACUUUGCCACCAGCACCACUCUGCCCAGAUGACACUACAAAACUGAAAGUACACAUAAGGUAGUCUUUGUAAAGUGUCUUUCCCACCUUACAAAAUGCAGCAGCAGCUUAAAGCAAGUCCCCAUGCCCACUACUGAGGGACUUCCUGUGGAUUUUCUCCAGCACAUUUUUCUCCAUAAAAUCAAUAGGACUACAUGUGCAUUUAGAAGCAGGCAGUAUUCAGCAGAUAGGUGUCCGAAAUAAGACCAGUAUCACUGGGGCUUCCUCAUGAAGCGCCACUUAUAUUACCGAGUAUCAAAUCUGCUGCUGACAAUUUUACUGCUCUACUGUAGAAACAGUAAUGCAUUCUCUCAGGCCACUGAAAUCUGAAGCUGUGCGCUGAAGACAAAAGCAAUAGACCUGAGAAAUGCUGAAAAUUCUAUCAGCUCGGAGAAAAUAGAUACAUAUCAUUUAGAAAUGUUGCUCCAACCCUAGUUGUUUCCCAGAUUAUUUCUUCUUAUAAAUAUGCAUCUAUAAUCAGACAUGAAAUUCUAGAUAUUUAAUUAGAAAUGCCUCCCGAGUUUGGGCUUAUUAGAAUAAAAAAACAAGUGCAGAAGCAGAAAGAGAUUUAGAAAAAAAAAAUCCCCACACAAUUAGAUAUAGCUCUCUCAGCCAUGUCAUUUUGAUUGCAGAGGACUGGAGUCACAGCUCCCUAUUCAAUUUAGAUUGCAAUCAGAUUCUAAUUCAGAUUUCAAUUAAUAUUCUAAUUUUAGGGAAAAAAUGCUACAAUAGUAAAGAGAAAAAUUACUUGUGAGGACUCACCAUACAGGAUGUAAUGAAGGUCAAAGUUCAGAAAUGCAGGGAUGAAUGGAAACCAGCACGAUAAUGAAAUCACACAAUUUCAUUACGAUCAUUGCGUGCUAGGGAAGGGCAACCAAGCAGGAGAUGUCCUUUCCCCUGUCACUUGGAUGGCUACAAAAAUAACUUCUCAACUCACUGUCAUUUGACCUUUCUGCAAAUGAGACCAAUAGCUAUCACAAAUUUCUUCAACAUGCUGGUAGCACCGACAAAGGAAAGAUGACACUUGGCAGUCCUGCUGUCAUAGAUAGAACUCACCCUCAGACUGCUGUCACUGAAUUAUAUUACACAAGCAGG